rnacentral:rRNA from 1 species
GAGAGAGGGAGCCCAGAGUUGGAUUCUGAGACACGAAUCCAGGCCCUACGGGGCGCAGCAGUCGCGAAAACUUCACAAUGGGCGAAAGCCCGAUGAGGGAAUUCCUAGUGCUAGCACUUUUGUGCUAGCUUUUCUUCAGCGUAGAUAACUGGAGGAAUAAGGGCUGGGUAAGACGGGUGCCAGCCGCCGCGGUAAUACCCGCAGCCCGAGUGGUGGUCGAUUUUAUUGAGUCUAAAACGUUCGUAGCCGGUCUAAUAAAUCCUUGGGUAAAUCGGAAGGCUUAACUUUCCGAAUUCCGAGGAGACUGUUAGGCUUGGGAUCGGGAGAGGUAAGAGGUACUUCAGGGGUAGGGGUAAAAUCCUGUAAUCCUUGGAGGACCACCGGUGGCGAAGGCGUCUUACUAGAACGAAUCCGACGGUGAGGGACGAAGCCCUAGGUCGCAAACGGGAUUAGAUACCCCGGUAGUCUAGGGUGUAAACGCUGCAGACUUGGUGUUGGGGGCCCUUCGGGGGCAUUCAGUGCCGGAGAGAAGUUGUUAAGUCUGCUACUUGGGGAGUACGUCCGCAAGGAUGAAACUUAAAGGAAUUGGCGGGGGAGCACCGCAACGGGAGGAGCGU